AUUGAACGCUGGCGGCAUGCCUUACACAUGCAAGUCGAACGGUAACAGGUCUUCGGAUGCUGACGAGUGGCGAACGGGUGAGUAAUACAUCGGAACGUGCCCGAUCGUGGGGGAUAACGGAGCGAAAGCUUUGCUAAUACCGCAUACGAUCUACGGAUGGAAGCAGGGGACCGCAAGGCCUUGCGCGGACGGAGCGGCCGAUGGCAGAUUAGGUAGUUGGUGGGAUAAAAGCUUACCAAGCCGACGAUCUGUAGCUGGUCUGAGAGGACGACCAGCCACACUGGGACUGAGACACGGCCCAGACUCCUACGGGAGGCAGCAGUGGGGAAUUUUGGACAAUGGGCGAAAGCCUGAUCCAGCCAUGCCGCGUGCAGGAUGAAGGCCUUCGGGUUGUAAACUGCUUUUGUACGGAACGAAAAGACUCUUUCUAAUAAAGAGGGUCCAUGACGGUACCGUAAGAAUAAGCACCGGCUAACUACGUG
rnacentral:rRNA from 1 species